CCUAUGAAGCUUUACUGUAACUUGAAAUUGAAAUUGGACUUUAUUCGCGCAGCAUAGGUGGGAGGCGUUGAUUAUAAUCUCGCGGGAUUAUUGGAGCCAUCAGUGAGAUACCACUCUUGUAAUGUUAGAUUUCUAACUUUGAAUCAUUAUCUGGUCAAAGGACAGUUUCAGGCGGGCAGUUUGACUGGGGCGGUCGCCUCCUAAACGGUAACGGAGGCGUACAAAGGUUUCCUCUGAACGGUUAGAAAUCGUAUCUAGAGUGUAAAGGCAUAAGGAAGCUUGACUGUGAGACCUACAAGUCGAGCAGGGACGAAAGUCGGUCUUAGUGAUCUGACGGUACUGAGUGGAAAGG
rnacentral:rRNA from 1 species